GUAGGGAAUAUUGGUCAAUGGACGAAAGUCUGAACCAGCCAUUCCGCGUGCAGGAAGAAGAUUCUAUGGAUUGUAAACUGCUUUUAGCAGAGAAGAAACGCCUUCAUUGAUGAGGGUUUGACGGUAUCUGCGGAAUAAGCACCGGCUAACUCCGUGCCAGCAGCCGCGGUAAUACGGGGGGUGCAAGCGUUAUCCGGAAUCACUGGGUUUAAAGGGUGCGUAGGCGGGAAAUUAAGUCAGUGGUGAAAGUCUGUUGCUUAACGAUAGAAUUGCCGUGGAUACUGAUUUUCUUGAAUUGGGUUGAGGUUAGCGGAAUGUGACAUGUAGCGGUGAAAUGCAUAGAUAUGUCAUGGAACACCAAUUGCGAAGGCAGCUAGCUGGGCCUUGAUUGACGCUGAGGCACGAAAGCGUGGGUAGCGAACAGGAUUAGAUACCCCUGUAGUCC
rnacentral:rRNA from 1 species